rnacentral:rRNA from 1 species
AUUGAACGCUGGCGGCAGGCUUAACACAUGCAAGUCGAGCGAGCGGCGGACGGGUGAGUAAUGUCUGGGAAACUGCCUGAUGGAGGGGGAUAACUACUGGAAACGGUAGCUAAUACCGCAUACCAUCAGAUGUGCCCAGAUGGGAUUAGCUAGUAGGUGGGGUAAUGGCUCACCUAGGCGACGGUCCCUAGCUGGUCUGAGAGGAUGACCAGCCCCACUGGACAUGAGACACGGUCCAGCUGCCUACGGGAGGCAGCAGUGGGGAAUAUUGGACAAUGGGCGCAAGCCUGAUGCAGCCAGGCCGCGUGUGUGAAGAAGGCUUUCGGGUUGUAAAGCACUUUCAUCGAGGAGGCGUUACUCGCAGAAGAAGCACCGGCUAACUCCGUGCCAGCAGCCGCGGUAAUAC